UACGUAGGUGGCAAGCGUUGUCCGGAUUUACUGGGCGUAAAGCGCACGGUAGGCGGCGCAGCAAGUCAGGGGUGAAAUCCCCGGGCUCAACCCGGGAACUGCGUCCGAUACUGGCAGGCUUGAAUCCGGGAGAGGGAUGCGGAAUUCCAGGUGUAGCGGUGAAAUGCGUAGAUAUCUGGAGGAAUACCGGUGGCGAAGGCGGUAUCCUGGACCGGCAUUGACGCUGAGGAGCG
rnacentral:rRNA from 1 species